rnacentral:snRNA from 1 species
UUAGUCACUUUCACUGCAUU